rnacentral:rRNA from 1 species
AACGAACGCUGGUGGCGUGCCUAACACAUGCAAGUCGAACGAGAAGUACGUAGCAAUACGUAUUGUAAAGUGGCGCACGGGUGAGUAACACGUGGGUAAUCUGCCCUCGAGUUUGGGAUAACCCCGCGAAAGCGGGGCUAAUACCGAAUAAGACCACGGGGACCAAAGUCUCCGGGGUAAAAGGGGGCCUCUAUUUAUAAGCUACCACUUGAGGAUGAGCCCGGGGCCCAUUAGCUAGUUGGCAGGGUAACGGCCUACCAAGGCGAUGAUGGGUAGCUGGUCUGAGAGGACGAUCAGCCACACUGGAACUGAGACACGGUCCAGACUCCUACGGGAGGCAGCAGUGGGGAAUAUUGCGCAAUGGGCGAAAGCCUGACGCAGCAACGCCGCGUGGGGGAUGAAGGUUUUCGGAUUGUAAACCCCUUUCGACCGGAACGAAUCUCCUCCUGGUAAAUAAUCAGGAGGAUCGACGGUACCGGGAGAAGAAGCCACGGCUAACUCUGUGCCAGCCGCCGCGGUAAAAC